AGCCCCGUACACAAAAGCGCAUGUGCUGUGAGCUCGAUGAGUAGGGCGGGACACGUGGUAUCCUGUCUGAAUAUGGGGGGACCAUCCUCCAAGGCUAAAUACUCCUGACUGACCGAUAGUGAACCAGUACCGUGAGGGAAAGGCGAAAAGAACCCCGGCGAGGGGAGUGAAACAGAACCUGAAACCGUGUACGUACAAGCAGUGGGAGCCCCACCACCAAAGCGUUUCGCUUUGCGUGGUGCGCAAAAUGCGUAACGACAGCACGAUGGACGGUUAACGGAGCGUAAGCGACGUUCAACACAAAAAUCAGGCAGUGGAGCGUUUUGGGGUGGGGUGACUGCGUACCUUUUGUAUAAUGGGUCAGCGACUUAUAUUCUGUAGCAAGGUUAACCGCAUAGGGGAGCCGGAGGGAAACCGAGUCUUAAU
rnacentral:rRNA from 1 species